rnacentral:rRNA from 1 species
GAGCGUUAAUCGGAAUUACUGGGCGUAAAGCGUGCGCAGGCGGCCGUACAAGACAGAUGUGAAAUCCCCGGGCUUAACCUGGGAACUGCAUUUGUGACUGUAUGGCUGGAGUGCGGCAGAGGGGGAUGGAAUUCCGCGUGUAGCAGUGAAAUGCGUAGAUAUGCGGAGGAACACCGAUGGCGAAGGCAAUCCCCUGGGCCUGCACUGACGCUCAUGCACGAAAGCGUGGGGAGCAAACAGG